rnacentral:rRNA from 1 species
AGUGGAUGGGGAGCAACCUAGUUGUGCGUGUGUAAAGGUAGUGCCAAGAAAAGCGAUGAUCAUGUUGAAAAUCAAUUCCCGGUACCCGAAACCGACACAGGUGGGCAAGUAGAGAAUACUAAGGGGCGCGAGGUAACUCUCUCCAAGGAACUCGGCAAAAUGACCCCGUAACUUAGGGAGAAGGGGUGCCACCGAGAGGUGGUCGCAGUGAAGAGGCCCAGGCGACUGUUUAGCAAAAACAUAGGUCUCUGCAAACUCGAAAGAGGAGGUAUAGGGGCUGACGCCUGCCCAGUGCCGGAAGGUUAAAGAAGUUGGUCAGUUUUAGGAUGAAGCUAGCGACUGAAGCCCCGGUGAACGGCGGCCGUAACUAUAACGGUCCUAAGGUAGCGAAAUUCCUUGUCGGGUAGGUUCCGACCCGCACGAAAGGCGUAACGAUCUGGGCGCUGUCUCGGAGAGAGGCUCGGCGAAAUAGGAUUGUCUGUGAAGAUACGGACUACCUGCAUUUGGACAGAAAGACCCUAUGAAGCUUUACUAUAGCUUGGAAUUGUGUUCGGGCUUCCUGUGCGCAGGAUAGGUGGGAGGCGUAGAAGGUAUUCUUGUGGGGAUACUGGAGCCAACGGUGAGAUACCACUCUCAGGAGGCUAGAAUUCUAACUUAAUUAAGGACAGUUUCAGGUGGGUAGUUUGACUGGGGCGGUCGCCUCCAAAAAGGUAACGGAGGCGUACAAAGGUUCCCUCAGACUGGUUGGAAAUCAGUCGAAGAGUGCAAAGGCAGAAGGGAGCUUGACUGCGAGAAGUACAGUUCGAGCAGGGUGGAAACACGGUCUUAGUGACCCGACGGUGCUGUGUGGAAGGGCCGUCGCUCAACGGAUAAAAGUUACUCUAGGAUAACAGGCUGAUCUCCCCCAAGAGUUCACAUCGACGGGGAGGUUUGGCACCUCGAUGUCGGCUCAUCGCAACCUGGGGCGGAAGUACGUCCCAAGGGUUGGGCUGUUCGCCCAUUAAAGCGGUACGUGAGCUGGGUUCAGAACGUCGUGAGACAGUUCGGUCCAUAUCCGAUGUAGGCGUGAGAAUAUUGAGAGGAGCCUUCCUUAGUACGAGAGGACCGGGAAGGACGCACCGCUGGUGUACCUGUUAUGAUGCCAAUUGUAAACGCAGGGUAGCCAAGUGCGGAGAGGAUAACCGCUGAAAGCAUCUAAGUGGGAAGCCCACCUCAAGAUGAGUAUUCUGGUGUAAGGUCACGGGAAGACGACCCGUAAAUAGGCACGAGGUGGAAGUGCAGAGAUGUAUGAAGCCGAAGUGUACUAAUAGACCGUCGGCUUGACC